rnacentral:rRNA from 1 species
CGAGGAAUAUUGGACAAUGGGGGCAACCCUGAUCCAGCAAUGCCGCGUGUGUGAAGAAGGCCUGAGGGUUGUAAAGCACUUUCAGUGGGGAGGAGGAUUACUAGGUUAAGAGCCAGGUGAUUGGACGUUGCCCACAGAAGAAGCACCGGCUAACUCCGUG